rnacentral:rRNA from 1 species
AUGGGCCUGCCAAGAUCAGUCAUGGCGGGUGUGAGGGAUGUUUUUGCAGUAAGUAUAGCUGGGUGCGUGUGUUCUCUUGCUCCCUAUGGAGAUAUAGGCGAUGGCGGUUGUGGGGGCGUGAGCUUUAUUCGAUUGGCAGAGAUGAAGGCGGUGGUGUUCUUGUUGGCCUGCUCUUGUUGUUAUCUUGGUUAUGGUGAGUUGCUUCUGUUGCCGGCGCUUCAUCUUUGCAUCGGCUUUCUUCGAUCGGUGGGUUGUGAAGGCGUGGAGAGCGGCGUUCGGUUGCGGGGUUUCCUUGGGUUGUUCGUCUUAUUGCUACGCAUCUGA